rnacentral:rRNA from 1 species
GUGCCAGCAGCCGCGGUAAUACGAAGGUGGCAAGCGUUACUCGGAAUUACUAGGCGUAAAGGGCAGGUAGGCGGUUUGGUAAGUCUGUUGUGAAAGCUCCUUGCUUAACGGGGAGAGGUCAACAGAUACUGCCAGGCUUGAGUAUAGGAGAGGGUACUGGAAUUCCCGGUGUAGCGGUGAAAUGCGCAGAGAUCGGGAGGAACACCAAUGGCGAAAGCAGGUACCUGGACUAUUACUGACGCUCAGCUGCGAAAGCUAGGGGAGCAAACAGGAUUAGAAACCCGUGUAGUCC